AGGCCCCACGGCGCACCAGGAGCAGCAGUGGGGCCCGGAGGCGGCGGAG
rnacentral:miRNA from 1 species